rnacentral:tRNA from 1 species
GUCAGCGUGGUUUAAUGGUUGGAGUGUUGGACUAUGAAUCUGGAAACUAGGGUUCACAUCCUUGCUCAGGCA